GACGAACGCUGGCGGCGUGCUUAACACAUGCAAGUCGAACGGACAGGCCCUGCUUUUGUGGGGUGCUCGAGUGGCGCACGGGUGAGUAACACGUGAGUAACCUGCCCUUGACUUUGGGAUAACUUCAGGAAACUGGGGCUCAUACCGCAUAUGAGCUCCUGCUGCAUGGUGGGCGUUGGAAAGUUUCGGCGGUUGGAGAUGGACUCGCGGCUUAUCAGCUGUUUGGUGGGGUAGUGGUUUACCAAGGCUUUGACGGGUAGCCGACCUGAGAGGGUGGCCGGGCACAUGGGGACUGAGGUACGCCGCAGAAGCGUACGGGAGGCAGCAGGGGAGAAUAUUACACAGCGGGGGGAAGCCUGAUGCAGCAACGCCGGGUGCGGGAUGACGGCCUUCGGGUUGUAAACCGCUUUCGCCUGUGACGAAGCGUGAGUGACGGUAAUGGGUAAAGAAGCACCGGCUAACUACGUG
rnacentral:rRNA from 1 species